AUGAUGACCCUGGCAUUGCUGACACUUCUGCUGAUCAUGAUUCUUGUAGAUGGUUCUGCAGAGGGAAAAAUGAUGAAAUCUAAUGAGGAGGGCUUUGUUGGACAGGAUGUACUUUUGUCAUGCAACUGUUCUAAUGUCCCAAAAGAACUGAUAUGGCAGAAAGGUGAGAGAGUAGUGAAUGUUCAUCCGCAUGACAAAAGCAUCAUCGAUGAUUCCUACGUCGAUAGGACGCAACUCUUCCUAAACAAGGAGAAGAGAAACUGCUCCCUGCUGCUCCGCAACGUCUCUUCAACAGACGCAGGAUUGUACAUCUGUCAUGCCUUAGUCGGUGUUGGUGACAACGUCUGGUCAAGGAGGUCAUUAGAAGUUAAUCUAACAGUGUCUGAAAUGAAGAACAGCCCUGAAACAAAAGGCCAAACUGGAGGCAGUUCUGUCACAGCUGUCUCUAUUAGUGUUCCCAUAUUGGUAGUAGCGCUUAUACUGGCUGCUAGCCUGCUUCUAACCCUACUGAUCAGAAGACGACAUCGGCCUAACACGGACACUGAAUUACAGGCUGGGAGACCAAUGCUGGAGAACACCAAUGCUGUGUGAAGUUCUCUUGCUUGAGAGUUUAAGGGACUAACUUCUAUGUUGUAAUGCAAGGUCCUUCACAACAACAAUGGAUAAUAGGAGGCCUUAGCCCUAAACAAAUGCGUUUGCAUAUGGGCAUCCCACAGUGGUGCGUGCCGAUCCGUCUCACUUCGAGACAGAUCAAUGUGCAGUCUUCAGUUGUAACACUGUUUGAUAUAUACCACUGAACUGUGAAUAUACCCUGAAUAUACAUUCUGUAGGCAUUACAGUUUUGUAACUUAACAAGAUUCUCCUUGUAGGAACUGUCUUUAUUCAUUCUUUGAAGAACAGAUGUAAAAGUAGGGGAUGUGCAGUUUAUAUUUACCCUUUUUCCUUUUUCCACAUUGGUGGUCUCAAUCCUAAACAGGCUUUUCAAAUCACCUUAUUUUAAUGUUCAUAUGUGUACAGCAAUCAUUUACUAAGCACACAUCAUGUAAGCUUUUUUUACAUUUACUCCUGUAUGGGUUGAUUUCCUCAGCCUGUGCUGAUUUUCAUUUAUGUGGAAGAAAUAUGUGGCACUCCCUAUGGGAUAUAUUUGCUUUUUUUACUAUACUUAAUGUCAUUUACUUUUAAAUGAAUUUUGUAAAGUGCUUCAAACCUGCAGAGGCAAUAAACCUUUUACAUAUCCAGUUUUGUUUUCUUUU
ensembl:lncRNA